rfam:Brassica napus, WGS project CCCW01000000 data, contig: 24631
UUUGAGGGGAUUGUUGUCUGGCACGAGGCCCUUAACUCAGAUCUACGAUCGGUUAUAUAAAUAUAUUAUAUGAACGAUCAGUUAAGUGGUUGAUGACGUCGGACCAGGCUUCAUUCCCCUCAGU